rnacentral:rRNA from 1 species
UGCAAGUCGAACGGCAGCGCGAGAAGCUUGCUUCUUGGCGGCGAGUGGCGGACGGGUGAGUAAUGUGCAGGAAUCUGCCCAAAGGAGGGGGACAACUUGAGGAAACUCAAGCUAAUACCGCGUAAGCCCUAUGGGGGAAAGGAGGGGAUCGAAAGACCUUUCGCCUUUGGAUGAGCCUGCAUCAGAUUAGCUUGUUGGUAGGGUAAAGGCCUACCAAGGCUACGAUCUGUAGCUGGUCUGAGAGGAUGAUCAGCCACACUGGGACUGAGACACGGCCCAGACUUCUACGGAAGGCAGCAGUGGGGAAUAUUGGACAAUGGGCGCAAGCCUGAUCCAGCAAUGCCGCGUGUGUGAAGAAGGCCUGCGGGUCGUAAAGCACUUUCAGCGAAGAAGAAAGCACAGUUGCUAAUAUCGGCUGUGGAUGACGUUAUUCGCAGAAGAAGCACCGGCUAACUCUGUGCCAGCAGCCGCGGUAAUACAGAGGGUGCGAGCGUUAAUCGGAAUUACUGGGCGUAAAGGGUGUGCAGGUGGUUGAAUAAGUUAGAUGUGAAAGCCCUGGGCUUAACCUGGGAACUGCAUUUAAUACUGUUCGACUAGAGUAUUGUAGGGGAUAGCGGAAUUUCCGGUGGAGCGGUGAAAUGCGUAGAUAUCGGAAGGAACACCAGAGGCGAAGGCGGCUAUCUGGACAAAUACUGACACUCAUACACGAAAGCAUGGGGAGCAAACAGGAUUAGAUACCCUGGUAGUCCAUGCCCUAAACGAUGAGAACUUGCUGUUAGGCACAUAAAAGUGCUUAGUAGCGUAGCUAACGCGUUAAGUUCUCCGCCUGGGG